UACGUAGGGUCCGAGCGUUGUCCGGAAUUACUGGGCGUAAAGAGCUCGUAGGUGGUUUGUCGCGUUGUUCGUGAAAACUCACAGCUUAACUGUGGGCGUGCGGGCGAUACGGGCAGACUAGAGUACUGCAGGGGAGACUGGAAUUCCUGGUGUAGCGGUGGAAUGCGCAGAUAUCAGGAGGAACACCGGUGGCGAAGGCGGGUCUCUGGGCCACUACUGACGCUGAGAAGCGAAAGCAUGGGGAGCGAACAGG
rnacentral:rRNA from 1 species